rnacentral:lncRNA from 1 species
GUAGCCGGAGGCACCAAGAAACAUAAAAAAUCUGAAGGUCCCUCUGAUGUCCCCGACAAAACACGGACGCCGUGCAGAACUCCCCUAACGGAAUGCACGUUAUGGGGGAGCGGCGGGGGAGCACGGAAAACAGAAACAGGCGAAAGAACCCAGUAGGUAUUAAACGGGAAGCAGCGUUGACUGAUGCUAGGACGGCAUCGACUAUGUGGUUUUGCAUGAGUCCAAUGCGAUACAUCUGUCGUCUGUGACGCCGAUGAAAAAUGCAUCGAUUCGAAGAUGUGUCGUAUGAGCCACCACUUCUAGCCCUUUAUGCACACAGCUAUACCACACAAAGAACUUCUACAGCUUGUAAGGCAAAGCUCUGAAGAUCCGUUUCUGCGCGAGCUGUUCCGUCAGAGUGCCAACCGCCGUCGUGCAACAUCAGCCAUUUUGGGAGCUCGACUUGUGUUGACUGAGAUAUGAUCACUCUCAUGUUCUUUCCUUUGUUUGUGGUGCUUAACUUGAAUAGUCUAUUCCUUUCGUGGUGGUAAUAACUCGUGGUGCUGGCGUGAUUCGGCAGUCAAUUCGACUGCAUGUUUUGCGCUGUUGGCUUUUGCUGAGGACGUUCAAGCAACCCAAGAGCAACGGAG